UACGUAGGGCGCAAGCGUUGUCCGGAAUUAUUGGGCGUAAAGAGCUCGUAGGCGGCCUGUCGCGUCUGCUGUGAAAUCCCGGGGCUUAACCCCGGGCGUGCAGUGGAUACGGGCUGGCUGGAGGCAGGCAGGGGAGAACGGAAUUCCCGGUGUAGCGGUGAAAUGCGUAGAUAUUGGGAGGAACACCAGUGGCGAAGGCGGCUCACUGGACCGGUACUGACGCUGAUGCGCGAAAGCGUGGGGAGCAAACAGG
rnacentral:rRNA from 1 species